rnacentral:rRNA from 1 species
UACGUAGGGUGCAAGCGUUAAUCGGAAUUACUGGGCGUAAAGCGUGCGCAGGCGGUUCGUUGUGUCGGUGGUGAAAGCCCCGGGCUUAACCUGGGAAUGGCCAUGGAAACUGGCGAACUGGAGUGUGGCAGAGGGGGUGGAAUUCCGCGUGUAGCAGUGAAAUGCGUAGAGAUGCGGAGGAACACCGAUGGCGAAGGCAGCCUCCUGGGCCAAUACUGACGCUCAUGCACGAAAGCGUGGGGAGCAAACAGG